rnacentral:rRNA from 1 species
AUUGAACGCUGGCGGCAGGCCUAACACAUGCAAGUCGAGCGGCAGCGGGGAGUAGCUUGCUACUUUGCCGGCGAGCGGCGGACGGGUGAGUAAUGUCUGGGAAACUGCCUGAUGGAGGGGGAUAACUACUGGAAACGGUAGCUAAUACCGCAUAACGUCGCAAGACCAAAGAGGGGGACCUCCGGGCCUCUCUCCAUCAGAGGUGACCAGAUGGGAUUAGCUAGUGGGUGGAGUAACGGCUUACCAAGGCGACGAUCAGUAGCCGACCUGAGAGGGUGAUCGGCCACAUUGGAACUGAGACACGGUCCAAACUCCUACGGGAGGCAGCAGUGGGGAAUAUUGCACAAUGGGCGCAAGCCUGAUGCAGCCAUGCCGCGUGUAUGAAGAAGGCCUUCGGGUUGUAAAGUACUUUCAGCGGGGAGGAAGGGAGUAAAGUUAAUACCUUUGCUCAUUGACGUUACCCGCAGAAGCAGCACCGGCUAACUCCGUGCCAGCAGCCGCAGUAA